rnacentral:rRNA from 1 species
UACAGAGGUGGCAAGCGUUGUUCGGAAUUACUGGGCGUAAAGGGCGCGUAGGCGGCCUUCUAAGUCAGACGUGAAAUCCCCCGGCUUAACCUGGGAACUGCGUCUGAUACUGGAGGGCUUGAGUGCGGGAGAGGGAUGUGGAAUUCCAGGUGUAGCGGUGAAAUGCGUAGAUAUCAGGAGGAACACCUGUGGCGAAAGCGGCGCACUGGACCACAACUGACGCUGAGGCGCGAAAGCGUGGGGAGCGAACAGG